rnacentral:rRNA from 1 species
GAAUAUUGGACAAUGGGGGCAACCCUGAUCCAGCCAUGCCGCGUGUGUGACGAAGGCCUUUUGGUUGUAAAGCACUUUAAGCAGUGAAGAAGACUCCAUGGUUAAUACCCAUGGACGAUGACUUUAGCUGCAGAAUAAGCACCGGCUACCACUGCGCCCGAAGCCGCGGUAACACGGAGGGUGCAAGCGUUAAUCGGAAUUACUGGGCGUAAAGCGAGCGUAGGUGGCUUGAUAAGUCAGAUGUGAAAUCCCCGGGCUUAACCUGGGAACUGCAUCUGAUACUGUUAGGCUAGAAUAGGUGAGAGGAAGGUAGAAUUCCAGGUGUAGCGGUGAAAUGCGUAGAGAUCUGGAGGAAUACCGAUGGCGAAGGCAGCCUUCUGGCAUCAUAUUGACACUGAGGUUCGAAAGCGUGGGUAGCAAAC